UAUGGAGGGUGCAAACGUUGCUCGGAAUCAUUGGGCGUAAAGCGCACGUAGGCGGUCCUUUAAGUCGGGUGUGAAAGCCCUCGGCUCAACCGAGGAAGUGCAUUCGAAACUGGGGGACUUGAAUACUGGAGAGGAUGGCGGAAUUCCCGGUGUAGAGGUGAAAUUCGUAGAUAUCGGGAGGAACACCAGCGGCGAAGGCGGCCAUCUGGACAGAUAUUGACGCUGAGGUGCGAAAGCGUGGGGAGCAAACAGG
rnacentral:rRNA from 1 species